AGACUUAUCUAGCAGGAAGAAUAUCAUGAUAAAGAAGGUGGUUUCCCCUGAGUGAGGGUCUUCCAUUGCAUUCUUCUUUUAAGUUGAUCCCUGUGAUUUCCCCAAAUGUGAGAAACUCAACUGCAUAAUUUAUGGUGGUUGGGGACUGAGUUCACUCAGACCCCUC